UAAUAACAUAUUUGUGUAUUUGAGAACAAAUUGAUCAACUGACAGCAAACAUUUUUGAGAUAAUCCCUCUAUGUUUAACUUUCAUUUGCAGAAUGACAAAGCCCAAAAAACAACUGUGCCCCUCCUGCCAGGCCCCAAAUUCCCUUGGGCGUAAAACAUGUGUGGUGUGUGUCUGCCCCCUUCAAAUAAAUAAAACAUUUUAAAAAAAAGAAGCGGAAUUAAAGGACUCUAGCUGGGGGGCUUCUGUGAAGAGCAACAGGAACGCCAGCAGGACCGUUAAGUCGGCCGAGCUAUCUGUUCUUAAACUACACACCCUUGGCUCCAGCCCGGUCCUUUUCCUUUCCAAUAAGGGCCGCAGUGGGGAGAUCCGUGGGGAUCUGGUCCACCAUUUUGGAAAUGCUGAUGGGGUCGUUAGGGAGAUCCUACUCAAAAUGAGGAAACUCUAUGAGUACCUCCUGAAAAUGUGUGCUGCACAACAAGCUGCAUCGACAUCUGCUGGUCCACCAGCCCCCCCUGGACCAGAGCAAGAGCCAGAGCGAGAGACGGAGCGAGGGACAGAGACGGAGCCAGAGCCAGAGCC